rnacentral:rRNA from 1 species
ACGAACGCUUGCGGCAGGCUUAACACAUGCAAGUCGAGCGCCCCGCAAGGGGAGCGGCAGACGGGUGAGUAACGCGUGGGAACGUACCCUUAUCUUCGGUAUAGCUCCGGGAAAGUGGAAUUAAUACCGAAUGUGCCCUUUCGGGGAAAGAUUUAUCGGAUAAGGAUCGGCCCGCGUGGGAUUAGCUAGUUGGUGUGGUAAAGGCCUACCAAGGCGACGAUCCAUAGCUGGUCUGAGAGGAUGAUCAGACACAUUGAGACUGAGACACGGCCCAAAAUACUACGGGAGGGAGCAGUGGGGAAUAUUGGCAUACGGGCGCAAGCAUGAUGGAGCCAUGCCGGGUGAGUGAUGAAGGCUUUAGGGUUGUAAAGCUAUUUAAUAGGAGAAGAUAAUGACGGUAUCCGGAGAAGAAGCCCCGGCUAACUUCGUG